UACUGACAUGCUUGGGCCCAACUUCCCCACAGAGUGAAUUCUGUCAGCUGAGGGGCAGUGUCCAGGGUCUUCCUGUCCUCCACACUCCAGUGGUACUAGUACUAGAAGGUACUAGCAGAGUGACAAGAGAAGAACAUCUGUGUGCUUGCCUGCCAGCUAAAGGAAUACAAAGCCAAGCGGUAGGCUCACCUUGUGAUCCCAGAACUCCAGAAGCUGAGGCAAGAGGCCCACAGGCCGGCAGCCUGGCUGCACAGAGACUCUACCGAAGAACAAUUAUUCAAACAAAUUCAAAAGAAAAAAUUCCAGUUCCAUCAGAUGUCCCCUGGUACACCCAAGCACACCCCCUUCUUUCCUUUUCCGGGGGUGACUACAAUUGUGUGCAGCAUUCUCUUGCUUUAUAAAAAAAAUGUUUGUAUGAA